GAUGAACGCUAGCGGCAGGCCUAACACAUGCAAGUCGAGGGGUAACUAGAGUGAUAGCAAUAUUACUUUGGCUAGACCGGCGCACAGGUGCGUAACACGUAUGCAACCUACCUUAUACUGGGGAAUAACUUCGAGAAAUCGGCGCUAAUACCCCAUAACACUGCGGAGAGGCAUCUCUUUGCAGUUAAAGCUCCGGCGGUAUAAGAUGGGCAUGCGUCCAAUUAGCUAGUUGGUGAGGUAACGGCUCACCAAGGCUACGAUUGGUAGGGGUUCUGAGAGGAUGAUCCCCCACACUGGUACUGAGACACGGACCAGACUCCUACGGGAGGCAGCAGUGAGGCAUAUUGCGCAAUGGACGAAAGUCUGACGCAGCCAUGCCGCGUGCAGGAUGACGGCCCUAUGGGUUGUAAACUGCUUUUGUACGGGAAUAAACCCUUCUACGUGUAGGAGGCUGAAGGUACCGUAAGAAUAAGCACCGGCUAACUCCGUGCCAGCAGCCGCGGUAA
rnacentral:rRNA from 1 species